rnacentral:lncRNA from 1 species
ACACUCAUGUUCGGCAGCAAGCACGGACAGUCCUGCCCGGAGGCAGGGGGAUGGCCCACAUGGCCCUGGUCUUCCAGAGAAGCCCAGCGUCUGGCCUCUUCCCCUCAGCGCUGGUCACAUUCUCCCCACCUUCCCCUCCAAGCAGCCCACCUGGGGUAGGUGCUGAGUCCCCUGCUGCUGCCUCCCCCGGGUGAAAGCAGAGUAAACAGUCCCCCUCUCCCCCGCCUCCCUGGGGAGGGCUGGAGGAAAGAAAGGGAAGUGACAAAAGCUGCCCUAUCCCUGUCCUUCCUCACUGCUGGGUCUAGGACACUUAUUCUGGGGAAAGUGGCGUCUGAGGAUGUGGCUGCAGUGGCCAGUUGCUGGCGCCAGCAGAAAUCCCCAAGCCCGUCAGUAGACUCUGUUCAGACGCGUUCGCUGACCAUGGCACUGAGUAAGUGCUGAGGAGACACCUGAGGACCCAGGUCACGCCCCUGCCUGCCCUCUCCUCCCAGACAGGCCCCUCCUAGGGCUCAGACCAUUCCAGUUCCUCUUGUCAGACCCUGAGAAGGCCCAGGGCAUCCACCCCUACAGGGAAGGCUCAACAGGAAAGAAAGAAACACACAGGAACUGGGCUCAGAGCCCAGCUGCGUGCUCUUGGGCAAGUUACUUAACCUCUUUAGGCCUCAAUUUCUCAACUAUAAAAUGGGACUAAGACUAGCUGCCUGUUGAGCUGUUGUGAGAUAAGUGAGUGCACUGGCCUGGAUCUGCAGACGGUGGACAACAGCCAACGGCAGCCGGAUGUGGCAUUGUGCUGCUGCCUUUAGCAGCUCCAGGCAGUAACUACUGAGUAUCAGGGAAGAACUGAGACCUCAGAGAAGGGAGAGAACCAGGAUUGCUUGAGGCAGGGCGUUGGGAAGGCCCCACUUACCCUCUGGCAGUUGCAAUCUAAAAGGAACAAAGAGGCUUUGUGGCAGAUCCUGUCUCCUAAUAUCCAUUCCUCGUUUAUUUCCCAACUUUUAGCCAGACCCCCAUGGAAUAAAGACUAGACUACCUAGCUUCCCUUGCAGCUAGGUAUGGCUAGAUGACUGAGUUCUGGCCAAUGGAAUAUAAGUGUGACUUCUAGGAAGCUUCCUUGAAGGGAAGGGGCAUGUCCUUCUUCAGGCUUUCUUCUUCCUUCCUGCUGGCUGGGGCUCCAGCAGCCAUCUUGGGCAAUGAGGUGACCCUGGAAAUGGAAACCACACCUAGCAGGUCAGAAAGAUAGAAGGAGUCUCUGACCACAUCCCAGAAAUAUUUUACAUGAGCAAAAAAUUCACUAUUUAUCUUGUGUAAACCAAAAUUUAACUGAUACAAGCUUCUCCUCUGGUGAAAUAAUCUCGACUCAUGUGUGGCUGGGCAGAGUAGGAUGGAUGAGGUGUCUAGAAGAGAAGAGUUACCAGGGGUGUGAUGUCCCCAUCCAGGAGCACUUCCUCCUACUUGCCCUGUGAGGUCAGGAGGAACCCUGUUGGGAGGACUUGGCUCCAGGAGGAUGGAUGGAUGGAUGGAUGGAUGGAUGGAUGGAUGGAUGGAUGGAUAGAUAGAUGGAUGGAAAGGAGGGAAGAGCCCAGGUAAAUGCAUGAGAUGAGGAGAAAUACCUAGAAGGAGGAAAUACCCUGGGAAAACACUUCAGAUGACAGAGAGCCAGGCUAGGGGUGUGGGGAUAGCAGAACAGGAUGGCCUACCUGACUCACUGCCCAAGUCGGACUCUCAGUUUUCCCACCUGUGCUUUGGGAAUGGGCCUUAUCGCCUCACUCAGGGCCAGCGUGAAGUGAUUCAAAAACCAAACCAAAACUAAACAGAGAAUCAGUGUAGCAUUAAAUCCGUUGUCAGCCCAGACAAAACCCUUCUCUGUGCCUGGGAUUCCUAUAAAGUAAGGAUACCCGUGGACCCCACCUCACCUGGCUGUUGUGAGUAUUCAGCGAAAGGGCUACUGUAAUGUGCUCAUCACAGUGUCUGGCACAAGGCAAGUGCUCAGUAAGCAGUCAGUGCUAUUAUUGCUGCUGUUGAAAUCCUGCCCUGGGGUGUGAGGAACAAGAAGCUGCCACUUGAUUGGUCUGUGGCAUGAGUUAGGGAAAGAAACCUGGACUCCUCACUCCAGAAUAAUAUCUCCAGCGCUUUGGGGACCUAAAGGACCAGGUAAUGCCUUGGGAGCACCACACCAUAAACACACAUCAGGAUCCUGACGGCAUAAGAUGGAAUGGGGGUAGUAGGGAGACCUGGCAGGGUGGGGGCAGCCAAGGCUUAAAUUUUGGUACCACUGCCUGGGACCCCUGGAGGGACAGCUGUCAGGUCAGGCCCUGACCCCCAAGCUCUCCUCCUUGGCCAGGCCAGGUCCACAUUUGGUCACAAGAAGCUGGCAAGAGGCCAGACAGGGCCGCAGAUGCCAUGGAGAGGGCAAACACAGGCCCGACGGAAAGGGGGAAAAAAUCGGGCUUGUUCUGCCUGGGCAAGAGCAGGCUCAGGGGUGACAUCAACGCCAUGAUAAGCAGUUAGAUGAGUUAAUGCCCAGGGAUGCUUUUCCUGAAGUUCCCCAGAGAAAGUUGGGGGUUAAAUGAUGAGUGUGUUGGCAGAUUUGUACCCUCAAAAAAUUACGAGUGUGACCACUGUUAACAAUGAGCAGGGACUUUAAGAGGAGAACUAAGGAGCUGUCAUUUCUCUCUGGAGAAGUGAAGGAGAAGAAAUGAUCUUACAUUAAAGUAAACACGAUUCCGGAUGACCUAAGGGAGAAUUCUGACUGCCCAUGACAUGAGCUCUCUGUGUGCAAGGAGCUGUGGACUGAGUCCAGAACUGAAUAGGGCACACAGCUUCAGUGGCCUGUCCUGAAACCCCAGCACAGCCUCCAAGUUCUGGGCUUCUGUUCCCACCUGUGUUAAAUCAGACAAGGUAACGAUUAUGGAUAGGGAUUUAGGAAUCAUACAGAGAUCAGUUUGAAGGCACUUUGGACAAGUUACCUAACUUCUCUGUCCUUUGUUUCUUCCUCUGUUUGGAAGAAAAAAAAAAAACAGAACUGGGUGCAGAGGGUUGCUGGGAAGAUUAAUUCAGUGGAUGCCAGCUUAGAGCCUGGCACCCAGGACGAGCUCCAUAAAUAUUCUCCAGUGGGGCUAUUUUUCUCCUGUCUGGGCAGGGAUUGGACAGUAUCUCUUGAGUUCUUUUCAAGUCUAGAAUGCCUUGAUUCCACAAUCCUGUGACUCACUGAUUCUGCUUCUGGGGUCUGAGGACUGGGAUGAGUUGGUUGCACAGCUCUGCCCUGCAGGGCCCAGGCCCAGCACCUGGACAUAGCCCAGCCUAUAGUCUGCACCAUUUUAUUUCUACCAGUGGACUUUGCCUUGCCCAUCAUGUGCCCUCAGCCUCAUGGGCAGCCUUGUGGCCACAGGUGGCCCUGCCAGCUGUCCCUGACCUCUGCUCUGCACCUUCACCUGGAGCAGGGCAGUGCAAGCCCCUCCGGCUAACUCCUUCCUCACACCUACAUUCCCCUGACAAUGUCACAUGCUGUGCAAGUUGGCAGGGCCAGAGGGGCCACAGAUGCCAACAAAAACACCAUUCCUGUGGAGGGAGAAGAGCCCAUGGGUGUUAUUUUUAACCUGCUGAUUAGAGGCCACAGCUCUGCCCCUGGGGGUCCUGGGACUAAGGGCUCUGAGGGGCAUGUGAGUUGUCAGGCCUCACCUCAAUGACUCCCAAGGGUAUUGGGCUGCAGAAACCCCAGCCCUUCUACCACUUUGAUGGAGAAGUGGGAAAGGGAGACACAGAUCAAGACAUGCCCCAUCUUGCCCACUGGUUUCAACUGGGGCUGAACCCAGCCAGGAAGAGCAAAUGUGCCACGAAUCACAGAACAUUAAACCUAGAGAUGGGUCCUCUCCAGUCCCUGCGUUAUACAGAUAAGGAAACUGAGACCUGAGGGAGGAGGCCCAAAGUCACACUGCUGGUCAACACUAGCUUCCUACCCCCUUGCCCACCUGUUGUAGACCUGGAGUUUGACAAGGACAUUUCUAUAACUCUCCAAGGCCACAUCCUGGGGGUCACCUUGCUCCACCCUCUGUCCAGGUGACCCAUCUUGCCUCUGCCCUCUCCCCAGUCUGCCCUACCCCAAUGGGCUGAGCUUCUGACAACCCCAUGAUGAGGGCUCCAGGCCCUGGCUCACCCUGCAAGGACUUCCUAAGUGCCCAAGCAGUGCCCCCUAGAGGCCAGUGGCAGCACUGAUCAGCACAGCGGGCAGCGCCAUCAUGGCUGGAGGCCCAGGCGAAGACGUGCAGGCCAGGGCGUGCCUGUGUGGGGGGAACAGGACCGAGCUUCUGCCAAGGGCCCGCUGCCGGCUGUUGCUGAGCUUGUGCUCGCCAGAGGGGUGGGGGCGGCAGGCAGACAAUGGACCCCACGGCCCAGCCUCCUGGCCUUGGCCCCUUGAGCUGGGCAGGCAGCCGCUGGCCAAAGCAGCCGCCUCCAUUGGUCCCUCACGUAGCCCACGUCCUGCCUGCUGGGUGGCCCUUAUCACCGGGUACGUGCCAGAGUUCCACAUGCCCACACUCCACAGUGGGGAGGGGACUGUGGGCCCAGGAGGAAUGGGACCAGUGGGAAGUUAGGCUUCCUGUUUCCCUGCAUCCCAUUCCCAAGGAGGGGCUUGAGCAGGUCCUGAGUACCCCUUGAUGAGUCUCUCGUUCUCAGAGAGAUCUUAGCCGCAUCUCGCCAAGUCCCAACUCUCAACAACUGUUCUCCCCUUGGAAUGAAGGGGUUGGGUGGAAGAGAAGAAAGAAAGAGGCCAACAGCUUCAUUUGAAUGUUCUAGGUCACCAGUUCACAAAUACCAACUGUUCCUCUUAACAAGCUUAUACAAGAAGUAGUACUAUACUAUGCUUAUUACUGUCUGGGGAAACAGGCACAGAGAGGUUGAGUGACUUACCCACAACCAUACAGCUGGUAGGGACAGAGUCAGGAUUCAAAUCCGAGCAGACCGACUCCACAGCUAAACCACUCCUCAACAAAGCAGGGUCGUGACUGGCUGGUGCUCAGCCCUCUACCCCACAGAAAUGAUGGCUUUGGGGUCAGACAGACAUGGGCUCAGGCCUGGAAAUGCAUGCUCUAGGGCCAGUGAAGGCCCUCUCUGGGCCAAUGUUUCCUUACCUGUGAAAUGGGUGCAGUGAUGCAGUGAGGAAGGUACAGCCACAUGUGCCUCACUGGUGGAAGCUGCUGCACAAAUCCUCCUCCCCUUCACCCAGCAGAGCUCAAAGCCUCCUUUGACUGAAUAAUUAGAAUGUCUUCUGCCUCGCCGCCUGAAGCCCACCAUCCCAGCCUCCACUUCCUCUGUCCAAACCUACAGAGCGGCUCCAUUCCCUGGCACUUGAGGUCUGCUGCAAGCCCCUAGCAUGCCCGGCCAGGUAGCCCCGGCACGCUUGCUCAGCCCACGCACUGUUUAACCUUCCACAGGCACUGGGUUCUCCCUGUCUUCCCCCCGAGGAAGACCGUGAGUGCCCGCUGUGGGGCCAGGGGAGGAUGGGGCCGGAUGAGCCCCUGCCUCCCUGGUAUGUGCACACAUGUACAGUCAGGCCUUAUUCAAGGAGCUUGGACCCUGGGCCCAGUCUCAGUUGGCUACCAGAGCUGUGUGGCUCUGUACAGGUCCUUUCACGUCACGGGGGCUGUUUCCUCAUAUGUCAAAUGGACAUCUACAUCCCGGCUGGUAAAGACACAGUGAAGCCACAUCUGGGACACACCCCUCCCAGAAAACUUCCUCGUGAUUUCUGCUAGCAGAUUAGGACUACAGCGUGUGUGGGCAGGGAAGGGAUCUGGCUGGGAGGACAGGCGAAAUGGACAUAGACGUCAGAGAAGGCAGGAAGCAGAGGGGUUUCCCCACCAUGAUGAGGCUGCACAGGCAGGGGAAGAAAGGCCAUGGGGGCUGAGUCACUGGCUGUGUCUAAUCUGCUGCCUUCCCAGCCACUGACAAUGAAGUGACCACAGGCGGAUCACAGGAGAUCACAGGAGGGAGGUGGCCAAACAGGACAAGAAAGGGAGCUGCAGGGACUCUAGAGGAAGUAGCCUGAGAGGCAAGGCUCAGCCCCUGCCCUCAGAGGGACCCUGAGCUGAUGGGGUAGCAGACACAGCUGCUGCCUUCAGUGAGCUCCCAGUCUGACAGGGGAGACAUUCUUUUGUCUCAGGAGAGAAAGGAGCUCUGCCUUCAGGGAACUCCCAAUCUGACAGGGAAGUUUUAUCACUUUCUGCCUUAAGGGAAUUACAACUGUGACUGGGGACUCAGCCUCUGUUCGCAGGGAACCCCAGCUUGAGGUGUCUAUGUCUGAGGGAGCAGGUGCCUGAGUGAGCGCUGUGCAUUUGUGUGUUGACACCCUUCCUGGCUUCCUUCAGACCCUCCAAUCUGAUGGGAGAGACACAGCUCUGCUCUUAAGGAGCUCCUGUAAGAUGGGGGAGACAUAGUCCCCACAUCAGGCGGCCACUAAAAUGAAGGGGGAGACUUAGCUCCUGCCCUCUGUCCUCAGGGAGCCCUGUCUGCCCCCACGGGCACUCAGGUUAAGCAUGCAUGUGUGUGCACAUGGGAAUGCAUGCAGGCCCUGCUCUAGCCCUCUCAGGCACCACUCCCCACCAUGCCCACCUGAGAACUCCUCAAAGUAAGGAAGGAGAAUCCUUGUUCGAGCCCAGGCUAAGGGGGCUUCCACAGAGGGGCUUCUGGGAGCCUAGAAGACAGAGGGUGGGGGAGACAGAAGUGCUACCACAUCUAGGGUGGCUGGGCUCACUGUCCUGAACAGCUGAGCUGCAUCUGCCUUCCUCAUCUCCAACUCCUGAUCCCUGAUACACCCCAGCCUCACAUGUCCGCUGAGACGCGGUACAUGGUAUCUCCCACACGUAUGCGCGGCUCCAGCACAUGGGAGAGGGUGGCUGGGGCUUGGAGCUCAAAGGAGCCUCUUCUUUUCCUCCCCGUGGCCCUCAUGUUGCCUUUCACACACCCACUCUGGGUGAUGGGAGGGGAGUGACCAGUCCACCCCGAGUCACUAUGACUCGGUCUCCCCACCUGGAACCCUCAUACUCGGUUCACAGUCUCCAUGAAGGGACAGUGAGCAGACUGGGAGUCAGCGGGGAGGAGGCCCACAACAAGUCGGGAGCUCCAGUUCACCCACUCAAUUCCUUCCUAGGGCAGGAAACCUUCAGGAGAGCAGAGGAUGGGGCUGGGUGGGAAAAUAACAUGCAAGGGAGGAAGCAGGGAGCACAGGGCAUUUCCCCUCAAGUGGGAGUUCCCCGAGGGCAGGGCUGUGUCUCCCCUCAGACUGGGGCACCCUGAGGACUGGGUUGUGUCUCCCCUUAGACUGGGGCACCCUGAGGACUGGGUUGUGUCUCCCCUUAGACUGGGGCACCCUGAGGACGGGGCUGUGUCUCCCCUCAGACUGGGGCUCCUUGAGUCAGGGCUGCGUCUCCCUCAGACUGGGGGUCCCUGAGUCAGAGCUGCGUCUCCCCUCAGACUGGGGCACCCUGAGGACUGGAUUGUGUCUCCCCUCAGACUGGGGCUCCCUGAGUCAGGGCUGUUUCCCGCCUCAGACUGGGGGUCCCUGAGUCACGGCUGUGUCUCCCCUCAGACUGGGGCUCCCUGAGUCAGAGCUGCAUCUCCCCUCAGACUGGGGGUCCCUGAGUCACGGCUGUGUCUCCCCUCAGACUGGGGGUCCCUGAGUCAGGGCUGUCUCCCCCCUCAGACUGGGGAUCCCUGAGUACAGGGCUGUGUCUCCCUCAGACUGGGGCUCCCUGAGGAUGGGGCUGUGUCUUCCUCAGACUGGGGCACCCUGAGGAUGGGACUGUGUCUCCCCUCAGACUGGGGCUCCCUGAGUCAGGGCUGUCUCCCCCCUCAGACUGGGGCUCCCUGAGUCAGGGCUGUCUCCCCCCUCAGACUGGGGCUCCCUGAGUCAGAGCUGCGUCUUCCCUCAGACUGGGGCACCCUGAGGACCGGAUUGUGUCUCCCCUCAGACUGGGGCUCCCUGAGUCAGGGCUGUCUCCCGCCUCAGACUGGGGCUCCCUGAGUACAGGGCUGUGUCUCCCUCAGACUGGGGCUCCCUGAGGAUGGGACUGCGUCUCUCCUCGGACUGGGGUUCCCUGUGGACAGGGCUGUGUCUCCCUCAGACUGAAUUCCAUGAAGACAGGCACUGUGUCAAUCCCAUCAAACUAGGUCAGAACUAGAUCUCCUUUAGCAUCUAAAACAGGCAACUCAUCCACCAUCCCCAACAUCAUCUGGGGGUUUUCAGACUGGGUGGGGUGGGGCAUCUACUUCCCACCAGGCCACCCUCCUGAGGAAGGACAAUCAUGCUUACUGGCAGGGGCUUCCUCAGUGAGCAGCCUGUUCCCAGUUCACCCACUCACCCCUCUGGGUGGUCUCUCCCACAGUCUAGCCCCAGUCUCUCACGUUAAAUCACCAUGGGUAGCUGGGCAGGCGAGACCCACAGGAUGUGUGGGCAGGGCCUGCCUGGACCUGGUGGGGGGUGUAUAGCUGAGAGCACAGGCAUUUUGUAGCAUGAUCUCAUGCCCACUGCCCUCAGCUAGGGGCUCUUCAGGACCAUUUGAGCAUGGGGAGUGGGCAGACAAGCCUGGGCAGCUAUACCAGUGGCCUGAGGAAGCCAAGCUUGGCAGGUUCCUGCUUCCAUGAGUCCAAAUCAGCACAGGAAGUGGGUCCCAACACCAUUAGCUUUCCCUUAUCCUAUGCUGUAGCCACCUGGAUUAGCAGAGGGAGAGGCCUCCUACCCCAGUGGGUCCCUGUGAGGGGGCAGCCCGACCUUACAGUGUAUACAUUUGGUAGUGAAGGAAGCAGGAAACAGCUGGACAGGCCUGGGAAUCCCUCCCCACUCCCUAGUCACCUUUCAAUACGAGGAGCUGGGCUUUCCCAGCCCUCUAUCCCCUACUCCUCCCUGCCUCCUCUUGACCUCCUGUGCCUUUUUCAGGGAAAUAAAACACAGAGCCAUGUGGAGAUUGGGGCUGGACUUCUGUGCUCUCCUUUUUCCGUUGGCAACCCCAUCUCCAGGCUGGCAGGAUCAGAGUCGGUGCCUCCCACCUAACACUGACAAUUGGGCAUUGCCAUGGCUGAGGGCACCCUAAGAUAUCAACCCCAUUACACAGAUGGGCAGACUGAAGUCUGAGGCUGUCACAGAGUCAGGACAGAUCAUGUCUUGGAGGUGAUGCAGCCAGGCUUGUGGUCAAUACCCACUCUGCCUGAGUCAGGGUAGCUCCUCUCUCGGCCAGACUGUGAGCUCCCUGAGCUCAGGGACUGGUCCCCAGCUUCCUGAAAGGGGUUUGCUGGGUAGGAUUGAAUGAGGGCUUGCUAUGUACUGACCUGUGCUGGUCCUGGGGUGGGGUUCUGUGUCCCCAUCAGCCUAGCCAGUUUAGCUGCAGGGCCUCCUCACCUCUGGACCCUUCCUUGACCACAGGUCUCCCUAGUUAGUUCCUGGAACCCAGACUUUCGGUGCCUGGGGAGGGAGGGUCUAGGGUGGCAUGGGCAGCUGUGCAUCCAGGCCAGAAUGGGCCACCUGGAGAAGUCCCCAGGGCCUGGUGCAGGAGCCCGCUCCCCCAGCUGGCAGAAGGACAGGUGGAAGCCCACCUGCUGUCCCCCGCUUCUGGGUCACAGUCAGUUGGCUGAGCUAGGCCCAGCUUGGGCAGGUUCUCCCACAUCCAGUGCCCCCUCCCCCUCACCCCACCCUGGCCUGAUCCCUUUUUCAAGUACAGUCUUUGCUCCAGCCAGAUGUCUGAGCACAGUCUUGUUCCCAAGAAACCCAUGCCCUGCCCCACAAUCUCUACUCAUCCUGCCCUCUCUCCCUCCUGUCCCCAUAGGAGCCAUCUCCCCAGGGCCACUGGCUCACCACACUUCCUGCAGAGCUUUGACCCUCUAGGAGAGCAAGCCCCUCCCCAGGCCAGGGAAGGGUCUCAGCAGAGGCAGCAGGGAAGGGGCAAGGAUCCAGCUUCCCCAGUAACCUAGCAUGCCUCUGUCUUCCAGCAAGUCACCAAACCACUCUCCUAUCUGUCCCUAUUGUCAGCCUAUCCCAUCCCUCAAGGCAGCAAGUUCUUAGGUUGGCUUCCCACUGUGUGGGCAAACACGCGGCCUCACUCUUACUGGAAGCCAAGACUUGCUCCAACUGGGCUCGGCAGGAGAGAGUUCUCAAGAAGCCCAACCCUCAAAUACAUACUCUGUAACCUAGAUGGAGGCUCUCACAGAACCUGCCAGAGGCAAUCACUAACCCUGCUUUACACACCUAAAGGUAGCUUUUUAAACUUUAAAAAAUUUGUGAUAAAAUACGCAGAACAUUUACCAUUUUAACCACAUUUAAGUGUACAUUUCAGUGGCAUUAAAUACAUUCACAUUACAUACGUUCACAUUACAUAUGUUCACAUUGUUGUGCAACCAUCAACACCAUCCAUCUCCAGAAUUCUUUUCAUUUUACAAAACAGAAACUCUGCUCAUUGAACACUAACUCCCCAUCUCUCCAGCCCCUGGCAACCACCAUUCUACUUUCUGUCUCUAUGAAUCUAACUACCUUAGUUACCUCAUUAAAGUGGAAUUAUACAAUAUUUGUCCUUUUGUGAUUUGCUGAUUUCACUUAGCACAAUGUCCUUAAAGUUCAUCCCUGUUACAGCAUGUGUCACAAUUUUCUUCCUUUUUAAGGCUUAAUAAUAUUCCAUUGUAUGUAUGUACCACAUUUUCUUUCUCCAUUUGGGUAGCUUUUUUUAUUUAUUAACUACUUUUUUUUUUUUUUUUUUGAGACGGAGUCUCGCUCUGUCACCCGGGCUGGAGCACAGUGGCUUGAUCCCGGCUUACUGCAACCUCCGCUACCCAGGUUCAAGCGAUUCUCCUGCCUCAGUCUCCAGAGUUAACUACUUUUUAAAAAAACCAAAGUAAUAUAUUCUCGUGGCAAAAAGUCUGAACAGUUCAGAAACACAUAAAGUGAAAAGUGGACUUUUCCAUCCCUUCUCACUCUGGUCAUGGAAAGCCCUUUCUGGUGACUCUGAAAUUUUAGAGGCAGAAGGGCUAACUGGUUUUUAUCCAUUUUUUACACAUAUAGUGACAUACUCCUCAUCAGUACUUCUCAAACACGAGUAUGCAUCAGAAUCAUACAGAGAACAUGUUAAAACCACAGACUGCUGGGCUCCAGCCCUAGUGUUUCUGAUCCCGUAGUUCUACGGUGGCCCAAGAUUCCAGGUUUCUUUUUUGUUUGUUUUUUCAGACAGGGUCUCUCUCUGUCACCUGGGCUGGAGUGCAGUGGCACCAUCUUGGCUCCCUGAAACCUCCACCUCUCAGGCUCAAGCGAUCCUCCUGCCUCAGCAUCCCUAGUAGCUGGGACUACAGGCUAAUUUUUUGUAGAGAGGUUUUGCCAUGCUGCCCAGGCUGGUCUUGAACUCCUGGGCUCAAGCAAUCCUUCUGCCUUGGCCUCCCAAAGUGCUGGGAUUACAGGCAUGAGCCACUGCAACUGGCUGAAGAUUCUGGAUUUCUAAUAGGCUCCAUGCCCAUGCUGGCAGAGGGCACACCCUUCAUGGAGUAGCACCACCCAAGGAAUGUCUUGCCACUUGCUUUUCUACUUAGUGAAUAUCAACACACAACCUCAACCUCACUCUUUUCAACCACUGCAUACUAUUGGUGUUUGGAGGCAUCAUAACAUAUCCAAUCCGUGCCCUAUUAAUGGACUUAAUGUUGCUUCCAGUUUUUCAGGUUUGGAAGCAAAACUGCAAUGAACACACUUGUAUGUAUACUUUGAACACUUGUGACAUUUAUAACAGUGCAUCUGAUAAAUUCCUAGAUAUGGAACCCUCGAGUCCAUGGUUUGUGAAUUAAUUCUUCUCAUGUAUACUGCCAAUCCCCUUCACAGGUGCAACUGUCCUCCCCCCCAGCUCUGAGGAUGUCUGUGUCCACACAGUGAGGGGUUGCCCAUUUUAGUUGUUGUCAAUCAAAUUGGCGAAAAGAGAAUCUUCUCAUGUCUUCAUUUUGAUUUCUUCUAUUUUGACUGAGGGUGAGCAUUUUCACCUGCUUGUUAACCAUUAGUAUCCCCUUACCGGUUUAUGUGCUUUGCCCAUUUUUCUAUUCGUUUUUAUUUUCCUUAUUGACUUGUAAAAACUCAUCGGUCAUCUAUGUUAAAAAUAUUUUUUCCAGACGGUUGUCUUUAGAAUUCAGGAUAUUACAUUAAAAACACAUUUUUUUUUCAGAGAUGGAGUCUCACUGUGGUGCCCAGGCUGGCCUCAAAUUCCUGGGCUCAAGUUAUCCUCCCACCUCAGCCUCCCAAGGAGCUGGGACUACAGGCAUGUAACACAACACCCUACGUCAUAUUUUAAUACAGCCAAUUUUAAAAAAUUCUUUCCCUUUGUGACUCCUAGGUUUUGUGUCAAACUUUCCCCAAUCCAAGAACAUACACUUUUAGACUUUCAGAUGUUUUCUUCUAGUAAUUUUAUGGUUUCCUUUUUACAUUUAAAUCUUCACUCCAUCGGGAUUUAUUUCAGAAUAAGAGAUGAAGUGGGGAGCUGGAUUUCUUUUUUUUCCCCCUUAACAGCUAACCAGUUGUCCAAUUUGAUUGAAUAAUUCAUCUUUUCUCCUCUGAUCUAAAAUGUCAUUUUAUCAUAUAUUUAAUUUCCAUUUGUUCACGGGUGUGUGUCUGGCCUCUACUCUGCUCCUUUGAUCUGCCUGUCUGUUCUUGUGCCAGUACCCAACUAUUUUAUUAUUGGAGCUUUCUACAACAUUUUAGUAGCACUAGUCGUCCCUUAUAAUACUUCUUUUUCAGGAUUUUCCAAGCUCUUUUUGCAUGUUUAUUUCUCCAGAUGAACUUUAAUAUAAUUUGUCAAGUUCAAAAGAUCUCGUUGUUUUUCACAUCUUCCAACAGAUGUGAUUUUCGGACAUCUCAGCCCACAGCCAAACAGAAACAAGUUGAGAAUAGGGUGGGUUUGGUGGUCUGCCCUGGAGGCAGGCAAAGUGAUGGUAACAGAAGUGAUAGUUUAUACGGAGAGAGUUGAUGAAGUGAUAAAGUACUAUAAAAGUAGACACAAGAACUACGAAAAUGUAGCCUUCAUGGAAUGAGCCGUUGGUGUGGGGCCAAAAAAGGCCUUGGAUUUUCACUGUAUUACAACCAGGAUACUGAUGGACCCUUGUAACCACAACCCUGAGUCAUGAAGACUCACAUGUUCUGUAACCUCUGAUUAAAAGCCCGGAAAGCGUGUAAUAUCCACUAGUGAUUCCUAUCCAAAAUAUCUCUUUUUAAGGUUUCAGAUAUUAAUGUCUGGAAAACUAGUAUGAAAUGGUUCAUUCUUGGAUGGUGACAUAAACAUGACAUGUUACUGGCCUCUUUACAGUUUUCUCAAAGCCCACCUUCAAAUUCCAAGGAGCUGCCAGCUCCGGGAUUUGAAUUCACUCUAUCCAUGGAAACAAAGCUGAGGGAAAUGUCCCCAGACUUUCAGCCAGUUCAAACACAAUAAUAAAAAAAGGUUUACCUCAUACAUGCCUCCAACAUAUGAGGCAUGUUAUAGGCAGAUUAUAUUUUAAUCCUCAACAGCCCCGCUGGGUGAAUGCUGUACUCCCAUUACACAGAAAACUGAGGCUCAGAGGGGUCAAACAACUGGGGCCAGUUUAAGUUAGUACGUGACAAAGAGCUCUCAGCUACCUCCACCUGCACAUUCCACAGACCAGUCCCCUUCAGUUCACUCCCACAGGGAGGUUCAAAACACCACCGACCCUAUUCAGACAUCCCUUUGCAAGGCCCUGUCACCUGUCUUGCCCAAUGCCCACCUAGCCAGGAGAGCCAGGAUGCACAGUGAGGAAGGUGGAAUGAGGUGCCAACGUAGCCCAUCCAGGGAAGGAAGACAGCCCCCCCCCCCCGGCCACCCACUUGCCAGUGGCCCAGGUGGCAGGCCAGCCACUUGCCAAUCCCCUUCCUGAUCAGGGAUUCAGGAAGUGAAGAGAGUGCCCCUGGAAGUCAGGAGACACCUCCAAGAUGAAGGCCCUGCCUGCCAUAGCCUGACACAGCCUCCCUGUACUCCCUGGGUUGUCCCAGGACGCAGACUCUGUGCUUACCAUACCACACCUUUGUCAGUGGUGUGGGCAGGGCCCAGCAGAGUCCUGGACACCCCAGGGAGUAGGAGCUGUGCAGGUAACAUAGGAGGGGGUGAAAGGGAAAUGAACUCCCUUGGGAGUUCCCCAUCCCAGAGGAAAUAAAAGUCAAAGCACUCCUUUGUUUUUUCUUCCCAAGCCCUUAUAAGGGGCUUUAUGGGGCUUGCCUAGGUUUGAGGUGCAGCAGAGGCAGGCGGGUGAGGGCCUCCAGGCUGAGAGAUCCUGGGGCAAAAGUGAAACUAUAUGGUCAUGAACACGGGCAUGUUCUGAACUCUGUGAAACCCUAGCCCAGGACCUGGCUGACUGUACAAUCCGUCACCCGGCACACCGUAACAGAAGACCCUACUACGCGCAGAGGACAGUACUAUUGGGGUGGCAACUGAAAAGGGUCCUGGCUGGAGGCGGGGUUUGCUGGAGGGGUAACAGAGCGUGCGCGGAGUGGAGAGGGUACGGAGGCUCACCGCCCAGCAUCCCCAACCCCGGCGCUCAGAAGAGCAGCGCGCUCCGGAGCUCGGCGCGCGCGAUCAAAGCCGGCGCCGCACGCGCACGCGCGCCCGCAGCCGCUCCCCCGCCCGCGCCGCUCCGGCUCCCGCGCGCGCGCACUUGAGGCCUCCCUUGUGCGUCUCCUCCAUUCGCUACGUGCAGAAUGGUCCGUCGGCAGCAGCUGCAGCGCUGGGUGGGAGGGGGAGGAGGAGGGGAGGGGGAGGCGGCGCCCAGGUCUCGGGGAGGGGCCGCGGCGGCCCUGGAGAUAGAGGGGUGGGGGCGAAGGGGUGGGCCCCCGCAGCGGGGAGGACAGAGGGAGAGUCCGGGUGGGCUCGAUGCUCAGCCUUCCCCCUCCCCCGCUCCCGCUUCUUUCUGCGAGGCCAUUACGGCCAUCUCCCGGCCUGAGCCUCCUGGAACCAAGCCGACCAAGAGGGGUUUCCUCCGUGUUGUCUCGUCCCCAAAACCCAGAAUCCAGACCCAAGAAAGAACCACUCCUGCUGACCCCUCCUCCCGCUACCCGUCCCAACCGCAUUCCCAAGCUUUCGUGGAGGUGACCCAACAGCAAGCACUUCCCCACUCCGCCUUUCAUGGGGUGGGGUCCCUAAGAGGUACUGCAGACUAACUCCUCUUUUCAUCUCUUACCCCACCUGGAGGAAGAGGCAUGGCCAGGAUGGACACCAGAGCACAUUUCCCAGCAUUUCCAAGGGGAAAGGGCAGCAUCUCAGCAUGCAGACUCCAACAUGGCCACAGAAAGGUCGAGUGGCGCAGAGGAGCAGGCUGCUGCCCAGGCCCCUAGGGCCACUUCCAAAGGAGUGUGACCACGACUAGGUUGCUGUGGACUCACUCGCAUUACAGGGCUGCGCCCUAUACACCUGUUUGUAAAGGGUCCUCCUAGAAUGUAAUGGUGAGGGACCACCAAGCGGUGGACCAAGAAUUCCAAACAGACCAGCUCCCUGCCUUGCCAGGAAACCAGAUGUGGCCCAGAUGUCCAUAGCAGUUCCUCCCACAGGGUGGGACACCAGCUAUUCUGUGCAACCCCUCCCAACCCUUCUUCCAGGGUCAGGGAGGAAAGCUGGCAACCUCCGUUGUCCCUUCCCAUUUGGGUUGCUAGAAGGGAGCAACUCACUCAUCCUCCUCUUCCUGCCAAGAGCCACCUGGGCUUACCUCUCCAGCAGCCACCUAGGUUCAACCUGUGGUCUAACCUCAAGCCCUCUGCUGACAGGUUAAGUCAAGAUCGCCGGGAAGGAAGGCGUCCAGUUUCAUUACACACACAGACGUACACACACACCCGACACCGACCCACGCGCCUGGGCUCUGCACAGUGGCUAGACCCCAAAAAGCCGAUUCUCCUGUUCCCUCCGUGGUGGCCUCAGUCUUUUGGCGGCGCCCUCUGCUGGCCACUAGGAAGUGCAGGAAAAAACAGUCUGCCCAUAGACGCUUGGUGGAUCUGGGAAAGGGGACAAGAGGCAGAGAAACAAGUGAAAAGUGGGAGCUGAGAGCAGCGCUGGGCUGGCCACAAACAAGCGAGGCAUGGUGACGCCUUCCUGGAGAGGAUGGCCCAAGCCCAGGUCCCUGGCAUGGUGGGGCAGGGGCCUGAGUCACAGCCUGGCGUGACCCUGCCCAGUCCCCAGGAAUGGCCAGCUCGUCCAGAGGUGAGACCCAGGUCAACAAUCCAUCAGUCUGCCUCCUGCCACCAGGUAUCCUCCCCAUCACGUCCUACACGUGGGGUGGGCCAGGACAGUGCUGGGCAGAGCUAGUGUUGGGCCUGUGCCUGGGGGCCACCAAGGGGGCCCGGAGAAAAGAAUGGAGGGGUUUUCACUUCCUGAGCAGCAGGAGGAGCCAGCUGGGGUUAAAGACAGGAGGGACUGGUUGGGCCUACAGGCAUUUGGAGUCUCUCCCUGCCUGCUGGGUGAGGGAGGCAGCAGGUGCCAAGAACUGCUAGCUUCUAGGACCUGACCCUCAAGUUGCUUCUCCUGCUGAGGGGCUUCUAGGGUCACCCUCAGGGCCUUGACAUCUGCACACAUCUGCACAGGCCCUUCACCAGGGACUUAACCUCCAAAGGCAGCUCCUGCUCCCAGCCUUCACAGGCCCCCCUAGGGCCCAAGUCCCCAGACCCAACCUCAGUCUGCAAGCUGGCCAAGUCAGAGGUCCUGGCUGCCUGGACCACUCCCAAGCAGUAAAUGGCACUGUGGGCUUCCUCCAUCCUGUCUUCCCCGCCCCACUUCAUUGAUUCACUGACUUCCAACUUACUGGUCAGGCCCCCUUCCAGACCCUGCCUGGAUGAAGAGGACUCCCAGAAGCAGUGAUUGAAGGCCUAGGAGGAUACAGAGAGCCAGGUGCUUUAAUUGGAGGGGAGGAAAUAUUCCAAGAGAUGAAAACUAGCCAAGACCACGCAGCACCAGAACCACUCCCAGAAGCCCCGGCUUCCCCAGAGACUGCUUCAGUGAGCCGGCAAAAACUGAAGCCUGCAGCCUCAGGAGUUCCCACACACACCUAGGCCAGAAUCCCUCUGCCCCGCAGCAGGACACCCCUCCCUCUUGCCCUCCAGGGUCAUGGGCUAGACAUGGCAAGGUAAGCAGAAGGCAGAUGCAUACUAGUCCACACAAGCUUGUGACGGCUGGGACUAGGGGCCAACCUAGUGGCUCCCACGUUGAGAAUCAACGCCAAUUCCAGGAAGCCUUCCCGGCUAACCCCCAAAAAGCUGGCAAUACUUCCCUCCCACAACACAGCCUUGGCUCUCGAAGGCUGUCCUCUCCCCCAGCCUCACUCUGACUCAUCAUGUAGGUCCCGCAUGGGCCUCAGUUCUCCUGGCCAUGGGCUCUCCCCAUACCUUAACCUGGGAACCGUUGUGGGCAGGACCAUGUGGGACAAAAAGGUCCUGUGCCCAACCCAGCACCAAUCACAGGGAGGCCUGGGGAUAAGCAGGGGCUCUUGGAAAGGGGGCAGAACUCAGCUCAAGUCACAGAACCUGGGAAGGACCUUCAGUGGAAAGCCGCUUCAAAUGUCAUCUGGGAUGAGCAUGGUGGCUCACACCUGUCGUCUCAACACUUUGGUGAAACUGAGGCUGGAGGAUUGCUCAAGGCCAGGAGUCGAAGACCAGCCUGGGCAACAUAGCAAAACCUUGUCUCUCUGUGUAUUUUUUUAAUAUUAAAAAAAAAAAAUUUAAGGUCAUCUGGUCCAGUCCCUCGUGCCUCCCAGUUGGGAGGCACUGAACUUCUCAACACUGCAGAAACAGGCAUCUCUUCAUAUAUUUAGUCAUUCAGUCAUCCAUCCAAUGAACCUUGCCCAACUAUCUUCUACAUCUCCGCAGCCCAGGCAACCCAAUCCAUUCUCAAGGCACAGACUAAAUCCUUACCAAAUAGAGUCAAGGGUCCAUCCAUUUCCUCUCCUGGGCCUAACAUGGUGCUAAGUGGAAGUAAAAGGUGCUGAUCAGCAACGGCCACCCACUUUUAUGUUGCACGGUGGCAUUCUCACCUGGCUUGCACAUCACCAGGUGAUGUUCAUUUCAGACUCAGCCACCAUUCCAGACAGGUUGUCCCUCACUGGCAGAUGGGAAGCUGAGGCUGAGCAGGUGAAAUGGUCUUGCAGCUGGAAGAAAGGUAGGGCCAGGACUUGGCCCAGGCAGCUAAGCUCCCAGCCCCAGAUUCAUUUUACACACCCACUCCCAGCCCUCCACCAGCUUGGGUUUCAUGUGGAAACAGGAUUUCCCCCGGGGGAAUGAAAAUUUGAUUUUGGCCCCUAAUUAUAAAAAUAAUAACAGUGAAGAUGGAUCAGAGGCCUGCUGGUCUCAGUGCUGUGCUGAUUUUGCUAAAUGCACAGGUGUCAAGUGUUGCCCACAGAACCCCCCACCCCUCCUCGGGGCCAGGCUCACAAUGCCCUUGGCUGGCACAGCUGCACAUGCAGACACACACGCACGCACACACAUGCAUGCAUGAGUCCCUGCACGUCCCAGGAGAUGUGUCCCACCCCCUUCAUUCCCCUCUGAUAACCCAGCAGCUUCCAGCAGGACAGACACGUACCCUUCAGGCUGGCCAUGUCAGGCACGUGCCAGACCAGCUGCCAGGGCCCAGAACCUCAGGCCUGCUGGGCUCUAGAAGGUGACUUUCUCCAUAGCUGACCCUGUUCAACCUCAGGAAGGAUGAUAACUCUCCGGGAUGUGAGGGAUGUGAGACCCCACCCAAACCCUCUGCGGAGUCAGUGUCCAUGCAAGGCUUUGACUAAGACCUUGCUGAGGCCUGGAGAACUCGCGUGCUUCCUCUAAAGCCCAGACCGAAGACACCUCCUCUGGAAAGCCUACGCUGACCGGUGAUGGCUGUCCUGCCAGAUGGCCAAGCUGCAUUCUGCCAGGACAGGCUCAUACCCUUCGGGCUGGCCAUGUCGGGACGUGCCAGACCAGCUGCCAGGGCCUGGGGCCUCUUUUGAGGCUUUGACUUGGCCCCCACCCUGGUUCGUGGACCUGUUAUUUCCCCAUGCUGAGCUUCAAGGUUCUGAGGCCAGAGACAGGGUCCUAGUCAAGUUUGAGGCCUCAGAUCCAACACCAUGACCCAGCCCAGUGCUUUUGUGCGUGGAAUGAAGGAAUCCUGACCAUGCUGGGCUGAGACCUGCCAGGGCAAGGGCCCCAGGAGUAGGCACAGGGCCCUGGGGCAUAGCCAUCCUGCCCUGGCCUAUCCCUGCCCCAUGCCUGAGCCCUAUGCUAAGAGCAAGUUCCUGUUGCAAGCUGUACCCUGUCCCAGACACGUGGCAUUUACCAAAAGGGCAGAGACAGUGAGAAGGGCCUCCCCUGUGCCAUCCACUCACAAAGGGGCUGGAAAGGCCAGCAAGAAGGAGAGGAGUCAUAUUUCAAAGGGCUCUGAAGAUGUCACAAUGACGGCAAUGCUCACCACCUCAAACCGCCCAAGGAGCCAUAUCCAGACUAGACAAUAUAAGAAACAGCUGCAGAGCAGCCAGAGGACAGCAACCCUACCCCAGAAAUGGACAUGAGAGAUAAACAGACAAUUAAACAAUUGAGGCCAGGAGUUCGAGACCAGACUGGGCAACAUAGUGAGAAUCUGCCUCUUUAAAAAAAUGUUAAAAUUAGCUGGGCAAGGUAGGGUAGUGUGUGCCUAUAGUCCUAACUACUGAGGAGACUGAGGUGGGAGGAUCACUUGAGCAGAAGUUGAAGGCUACAGUGAGCUAUGAUCACACCAUAGCACUCCAGCCUGGGUGACAGAGUGAGAUCCUGUCUCAAAAAAAAAAAAAAAAAAAAGAAAAGAAAAGAUGCUGAAAAUCAUUAUACAUCACUCUACCUCUAGUAGAUGGGAAAAAUUCGAAAGCUGGAUAAAGCCCAGCAUUGGUGGGGAUGUGAGUGACAGCCCCAUCCCCACAGGGCAUGUACUAGGGGAAUUUGGCAGCUCAUUCAUAGAGUGGGUGGACAGGAAAAUGUGUGGCUGCACAUCAUAGGGUUCCAUGUAGCAGUUGGAAGCAACAAGGCUAGAUUUUAUUUUGAUUGAUUGAUUGACUGCACUCCGUCACCCAGGCUGGAGUGCAGUAGCAUAAUCAUAGCUCACUGCAGCCUCCAACUCCUGGGCUUAAGUGAUCCUCCCGCCUCAGCCUCUCAAGUAGCUGGGACUACAGUUGUACAUCACCAUGCCCAGCUCAAGGCUAGAUUUUAUACAGUGUUGACUCAAUGAGAUCUAUAACACAAUGACAUUUAUCAAAGUAAAAAGAAAAAUACGUGCUUACAAAAGAGUAAUGCCCACCUGCAGGAACCAUACAAACAAAGGCAUCAAAGACAGUAAAAUGGGGAAACAAAAGAAGGGUGUGAGGAAGGGAGGAAAGGAAUAAACACCAAACGAGAAAGGUCAGUGAUGCCAGUGAGCCUGCCAUGGCCUGAGUAACACUAGCCACACCCCCGGUCCACAAUGAGGACCACAUCUGAGGUCCACAGGGAGGAACAGUCCCCAAGGUCCUCAGCGCAGGCUCAGGUGGAGCCAGGAGCCGCUUCCAUGAGGGUCAGAUCUGGGCCUAACCUCAGAGCUUGCCCCUCCCCGCACCCUCCACAGCAGAGGAGGCUCUUGGCCAAAGUCAAGCUGCUGUACACGCAGGGUCGCACCCACCUUGGGCCCCUUUUAUGCCCUGGAAGUGGAAGAGGACAGACCUCAAACUAGAGCAGUGAUUCUGCCCUGAGCUGGGUGCCAGGAGAAAAUGGGAAGCAAGUCCUCACUCUUACAAAAGUUCCUGGGAGGUCAGGCGCAGUGGCUCAUGCCUGUAAUCCCAGCACUUUUGGGGGCAAAGGCAAGAGGAUUGCUUGAGGCCAGGAGCUCAAGACCAGCCUGGCCAGCAUAUUGAGACCCCCAUCUCUAAAAACAUUUUUUUUUUAAUUAGCUGGAUAUGGUGGCUUGCGUCUGUAGUCUCAGUUACUCAGGAGGCUGAGGCAGGAGGUUGAUUUGAGCCCAGGAGGUCCAGGCUGCAGUGAGCUAUGAUCACACCACUGCACUCCAGCCUGUGUGACAGAGUAAGACCCUGUCUCAACUUUUUAAAAAAAAAUUCCUGGAAUUCAGGUAAUUUUUUUUUUCUUUAAGGAGAGUCUUUAUCUUUAGACACACAUUUAGAAAAAUCUGUGAAAUGAUAUAAUGUUAUAAAUGUGCUUCAAAAUCUAGGUGUGGUGGCAGGGGAGAGGGGGCAAGUAGGUGGAUGAAACCAGCUUGGUGAUAAAUUGAUAGCUGCUGAGUCUGGGAAUGAGUGCGUGGGGUUCAUUAUACCUUAUUCUCUAUUUGUGCACGUGUUUCAGAGUUUCCAUAAUAAAAACUUCAAAAAGAAAAACUUCCCAGUAAGAAACUCUCCCAUGUGAGGGGACUAGCCCCUGACCUCAGGGAACCCCACCCAGUCUGCCAGGGGACACACAACCCCUGCCCUGCAUCUUCUUAGCCUGCCUCGGCUGGCCAGGGGCCGCAUUGUAGGACACAGCCAUGGGGGUCCUGACAAAUGCUCAGCCUCGGACCUGGCCUUAUCACUGAAGCCAAGGGUCAGGCACUGGAGCCACAUCUGAGCAGACCUGGUUCUGGUUCCAGCUCCACCUUGCACGUAGCCUGAGGCACCUCACCUGAACCACACCUGCCUGGAUCCAAGUCCUGGGUCAUUAUCAGUGAGAAAGUCCUCCUGCUCUUACUGUGGCUGCUCCUCUCACUGCCUCUGCCUCCACGUCUGUAUGAUGAGGACUGGAAUCACCAGGCAAGUUUGCAAAUUAAAUGAGGCAAUGCUCAGUGUGCACUCAGACAGAGCUGCCAGGACCAGGGGAGGGAGCUGGCCAGGGUCAUACAGCCAGCUAGUGGCAAAACUGGGUUCUUCACGGGAGCAGGGCACCGUGCCAGCUGCCACUCCCAUCCCCCACCAUGAGGCCUUCAGGCCAGUGGACAGCAUGUCUUCUUUCAGAGUCUGAGGCCGUGUCCCUGAGACCCUGCCCUCCAGCCCCAACUCCCAUUCCAGGAGCCUCUGACUCAGGAGAGCACCAGGAAGCCUGCGUGGGCCAGAUGCAAGCCAGGAAGGACAGGGCUGGGGAAGAAGGAGGCAGAAGCCUCUAUCCUGCCCUCCCGGAACACAGAGGUAUCCAGGUACAUCAGUCUGGGAGGGUGCACCCAGACUCAGGGACUCUACCAGGAGACUGCUGGGUGACUCCUAAGUCAGGAGUCUUAGCCUUGCCUGGCCUUUCCUUUAAUUAACAAUAAUAAUAGUCAACAUUUGUAUACCUCCUACUGUGUACAAGGCAGUGUUCUGCUUUAGGUGUAUUAUCUCAUUUAAUUCUCACAACAACCCUAAGAGGCCAAUGCUAUUAUUGUCUUCAUUUUACAGAUGGGGAAACCUAGGCAAAGAGAGGGUAAGUAACUUUCCCAAAGUCACUCAGCUUGCACACAGCAGAGCUAGGAUUUGGCCCCAGCCAGCCUGCCUUGAGUUUGUGCUCUUACCCACCCCAGCGCACUCUCAGACAGCAUGGCCUGGCUUUUCCUGAGCCAGCGCUUCUGAUUCCCCCUGGGGUAUAACAGCUGAUACCCUGUUUAUACCACAACACCUGGGAUGGGAGCUUCACCCAGGGGUGGCAGUGCUAGUACCCGGGCAGCACUCCCACCUUGUCUCUUACUCGGGAAAGCAGAGCAGAAGGUAAGCGGGAAUAACGCUAUCAGAGGGAUGGGUUUUUAACUCAUUAUUUUCUCUUCUUCUUUUUUGUUGUUGUUGUUGAGAUAGGGUGUCACUCCCAUCACCCAGGCUGGAGUGCAAUGCCACAAUCUUGGCUUACUGCAACCUCCGACUCCUGGGAUCAAGUGGUUCUCCUGCCUCAGCCUUCUGAGUAGCUGGGACUACAGGUGCAUGCCACUGCACCUGGCUAAUUUUUGUAUUUUUUGUAGAGAUGGGGUUUCUCCAUGUUGCUCAGGCUGGUCUCAAACUCCUGGCCUCAAGCAAUCCGCCUGCCUCUGCCUCCCAAAGUGCUGGGAUUACAGGCAUGAGCCACCGUGCCCAGCCUCCUUCUUCAUUUAAAUCACUCAUAAAAAGUUAACCAAGAUCUGGGCCAAGUGCAGUGGCUCAAAAAUAUAUAUACAAAAAAAAUUAGCAGGGCAUCGUGGCACACUUGUGGUCCCAGCUACUCAGGAGGCUGAGGUGGGAGGAUUGCUUGAGCCAGGGAGGCAGAGGUUGCAGUGAGCCGAGAUUGUGCCACUGUACUCCAGCCACUCCAGCCUAGGCAACAGAGUGAGACCCUGUCUCAAAAAAACAAAAGAAAGUUAUCCAAGAUCGGCAACAAAGUAGUCAUGAAACACCCUUACAACCAGUCACAGCAAGGCCCUGGAGAAUCUCUUUGGUCUACUGAAUGCAAGCAGCUGGGGCAUCCGCUCCCAGCUGAAACAUGCUGAAAGAGGAGUGGAUAAGAGCACAGGUCUCAGGGUGGGUGCUGCCACUUCCAAGCUGUAAAACCCUGGACCACAGAUUAGUUCACCUCUCUGGGCCUCAGUUUUCCCAUCCGUAAAGUGGGGUGAUAAUAGCAUCUCCUUGCAAAGUUGUUAGAAGUUUGUUUUUUGUUUUUUGUUUUGCUUUUUUUUUUGUUUUCCUGCCUCAGGUUUAUUUGUACAAAUGGCAGAGGAGGACACCAGCCCCAUGCAGAUGGCAGCCCAGGGGGGUCAUACUAGUCCUUCUGUCCUUAUGUUGGCGGACAGAGAUCUCUACUCUGAAACCUUUGUAGGGGCCUGGACAGCUUUGGGAGCCUGAG